AGCCCUUAACAUGCAAGUCGAGCGAGAAAGUUUCUUCGGAAGCGAGUAAAGCGGCGGACGGGUGAGUAACGCGUAGGAAUCUACCAUUCAGUGGGGGAUAGCUCGGGGAAACCCGAAUUAAUACCGCAUAUACCCUAAGGGGGAAAGAGGGCCUAUCCUUGGAAGCUCUUGCUGUUUGAUGAGCCUGCGUGAGAUUAGUUUGUUGGUGAGGUAAUGGCUCACCAAGGCUACGAUCUCUAGCUGGUCUGAGAGGACGAUCAGCCACACUGGGACUGAGACACGGCCCAGACUCCUACGGGAGGCAGCAGUGGGGAAUAUUGGACAAUGGGGGCAACCCUGAUCCAGGCAUGCCGCGUGUGUGAAGAAGGCCUUCGGGUUGUAAAGCACUUUAGGUAAGGAAGAAAAGUUAUUGGUUAAUACCCAAUGACCAUGACAUUACUUACAGAAUAAGGACCGGCUAA
rnacentral:rRNA from 1 species